rnacentral:rRNA from 1 species
GACGAACGCUGGCGGCGUGCCUAAUACAUGCAAGUAGAACGCUGAAGGAGGAGCUUGCUUCUCUGGAUGAGUUGCGAACGGGUGAGUAACGCGUAGGUAACCUGCCUGGUAGCGGGGGAUAACUAUUGGAAACGAUAGCUAAUACCGCAUAAUAGUAGAUGUUGCAUGACAUUUGCUUAAAAGGUGCAAUUGCAUCACUACCAGAUGGACCUGCGUUGUAUUAGCUAGUUGGUGGGGUAACGGCUCACCAAGGCGACGAUACAUAGCCGACCUGAGAGGGUGAUCGGCCACACUGGGAAUGAGACACGGCCCAGGCGCCUACGGGAGGCAGCAGUAGGGAAUCUUCGGCAAUAGACGGAAGUCUGACCGAGCAACGCCGCGUGAGUGAAGAAGGUUUUCGGAUCGUAAAGCUCUGUUGUAAGAGAAGAACGAGUGUGAGAGUGGAAAGUUCACACUGUGACGGUAUCUUACCAGAAAGGGACGGCUAACUACGUG